GCAUCUGUGCUCAGCAACAAAGGGUUUAACUCGUCAGUACCAACAGUAGGAUCCUGUAAUCGUAUUGCAUAAUCAAAGGUCAAGAUUCUGCAUGAAUGCGCAUUCAAAGACGACAUUUUUAACGGACCGCUGCUCAUUAUGGGAGAAAGCCAGCAGGCAUUCAGAGGAAAGGCAGCUUUACCUUUUUUUGACACAAUUGGCUGCAUCAACAUUGCACAAAAACUGGUGCUGAAAAAAAGGAAGGAGGCGCACCUGCUGAUCCGCUGGGGCUCGUUUUCUGACGACAUGACGAUCACCGGUAUUGGCUUCAGGGGGUUCAACGCCUGAAAAAACAUCCGUGAAAUUUGCGGAGUGAGUGUGGUGAGACAUGAAACGCACAACUGAAGCAGCACAUGCCAAAAAUGCAGGAAUUUGUAUGCAUGUAUGUAUACCUUGAUGGCUUUGAGGA